rnacentral:rRNA from 1 species
UGGGGGUCUGCUUUACACAUGCAAGUCGAACGGAGUAGCAAUACUUUUUGGGGGACGGGUGAGUAACGCGUGAGAAUCUACCUUCAGGACGGAGACAACAGUUUGAAACGACUGCUAACCCCCGAUGUACCGAAAGGGGAAAUAUUUUUAGCCUGAAGAAGAGCUCGCGUCCGAUUUUCUAGUUUGAGAGGUAAAAGCUCACCAAGGGGACGAUCGGUAGCUGGUCUGAGAGGACGAUCAGCCACACUGGGACUGAGACACGGGCCAGACUCCUACGGGAGGGAGCAGUGGGGAAUUUUCCGCAAUGGGGGAAAGCCUGACGGAGCAAGACCGCGUGGGGGAAGAAGGGUCUUUGGUUUUAAACCCCUUUUCUCUGGGAAGAACGCAAUGACGGUACCAGAGGAAUCAGCAUCGGGUAACUCCGUGCCAGCAGCCGCGGUAAGACGGAGGAUGCAAGCGUUAUCCGGAAUGAUUUGGGGUAAAGCGUCCGCAGGUGGGAGUUCAAGUCUGCUGUCAAAAAGCCGGGGGUCAACCUCGGAAAGGGAGUGGAAACUGAACAGCUAGAGUAUGGUAGGGGGAAAGGGAAUUUCCUGGUGUAGCGGUGAAAUGCGUAGAGAUCAGGAAGAACAUCGGUGGGGAAGGGGCUUUUCUGGACCAUAACUGACACUCAGGGACGAAAGCUAGGGGAGCGAAUGGGAUUUUAUACCCCAGUAGUCCUAGCCGUAAACGAUGGAUACUAGGUGUUUUCUGUAUCGACCCGGACAGUGCCGUAGCUAACGCGUUUAGUAUCCCGCCUGGGGAGUACGCACGCAAGUGUGAAACUCAAAGGAAUUUACGGGGGGCCGCACAAGCGGUGGAGUAUGUGGUUUUAUUCGAUGCAACGCGAAGAACCUUUCCAGGACUUUACAUGUCGCGAAUCCUUCUGAAAGGAAGGAGUGCCUUUUGGAGCGCGAACACAGGUGGUGCAUGGGUGUCGUCAGCUCGUGUCGUGAGAUGUUUGGUUUAGUCCCGCAACGAGCGCAACUCGUGUUUUUUUUCCAUCAUUUAGUUUGGGACUCUAAACAGACUGCCGGUGACAAACCGGAGGAAGGUGGGGAUGACGUCAAGUCAGCAUGCCCCUUUCGUCCUGGGGUACACACGUACUACAAUGGUAGGGACAAAGGGGAGCCAACCCGCGAGGGGGAGCUAAUCCCGUAAACCCUGCCUCAGUUCAGAUUUCAGGGUGCAACUCGCCUGCAUGAAGGGGGAAUCGCUAGUAAUCGCAGGUCAGCAUACUGCGGUGAAUCCGUUCCCGGGGCUUUUACACACCGCCCGUCACACCAUGGAAGUUUGGCACGCCCGAAGUCAUUUCUCUAACCUUUCGAGGAGGAGGAUGCCGAAGGGAGGGGUGAUGACUGGGGUGAAGUCGUAACAAGGUAGCCGUACCGGAAGGUGUGGGUGGAUCACCUCCUUUUUUGGAGACCAAUCGAUU